UACGUAGGGGGCAAGCGUUGUCCGGAUUUAUUGGGCGUAAAGCGUGCGUAGACGGCUAUCUAAGUCGGGUGUGAAAGCCCCGGGCUCAACCUGGGAAUUGCAUUCGAGACUGAAUAGCUAGGGUACGGUAGAGGGAAGCGGAAUUUCCGGUGUAGCGGUGAAAUGCGUAGAUAUCGGAAGGAACAUCAGUGGCGAAAGCGGCUUCCUGGACCAGUACCGACGUCAGGCACGAAAGCGUGGGGAGCAAACAGG
rnacentral:rRNA from 1 species